GACGUAAUAACUCAGUGGUAGAGUAUUGGAUUCAUAACCCAAAUGUCGGGGGUUCGAGUCCCCCUUACGUCA
rnacentral:tRNA from 1 species